GGGAAAUCACUGGAGAUUUACUCCGGUGUUGGACUUACUACUUCAAAUAAAAACUGAAGCGAUUUUUGCAAGGAGAAAUCACGGGAGAUUUACUCUGGUGUUGGACUUUCUACUUCAAAUUAAAAACUGAGGCGAUUUUUGCAAGAAUGGACUCUUCGGCGCCACCUAGAUCAUGGGCAUGUUCAGGGGCUAUCUAGCACAUCCCUUUUGAGGUUGAAAUAAGAGGUUAAAAACAAGCACAUAUUGGGCAAAUAUCAGCCCAAAUAAAUCUGCAGCAUUAAUCGGCCAUCGGCCGACCCGGAUUUCAAAAGAUCGGCAUCGGCCUGAAAAAAAAACAAUAUCGGGAAUGCAUAUUUGCGCAGCCCACGGGGCCAGCUGUGUGCCAGCACGUCUCCAUCGAGGGGAGCUCCCAUCAAGGCACACCAGAGCGGGCAGUGGGAGGAUCCCCGGGAGGUGAACAGGUCUACCUGUGCCUUGCCGAAUUGACACCAAAUCAGCUGGAGUACGCGUCCUUCAGGUCUAUCGCCCCAAACCAAUCUUGAAGCCGGAUGCAUGUCAAAAUGUGCUUUUGCGUCAGCAUCUUGCACUGGAGUCUGUGUAAGGCACGGUUCAGAACUCACAGGUACAGGAUUGGCCACAACCCACUGCUCUUCUUGGGAAAAAACCUUGCCUCACCUUGGCAGGAGGGACGGGCUCUAUCGCACCCUUCUGCAGAAGGACCACAAUCUCCACCCACAGGACGGCGGCGCACUCAUCCUUCAUUGACGUGAAGUGAACGCCGCGGAACUAGGGUUGGUGCCAUUCGAAUUUAAUUGCAUAGCCGAGUCGGAUGGUUCUGGCCAACCAGCGUGACAGGGUUGGAUAGUGAUAGUUCCUACACUCACAGUAGCUUGCCUACACCUGCAUUGGCAGUUCACGUGUAACAGUUCAGCCAUGUGGCAUUUUGUAUAGGGACCCCUAGUGUAGAGUGACAGAAGGGGUACGUCUCGGUUACUGUCGUAACCUCCAUUCCCUGAUGGAGGGAACGAGACAUUGUGUCCCCUCUUGCCACAGGCUGUACCUACACAGCUGUAAUGGUCGGGACCUUGUCUCGGCUCCUCACUUCAAAACCUGAAUGAAUUCGCAUUCCAGCUCCCUUUUAUACCCGUAUGCCAAUCCUCCAUCAGGGAACUGGUGUUACGACAGUAUUUGUCUCCGACCCUACUAGAUUUAUGAUUUGCCUCCACAGAAUUAUUAAUUCCAUUUCUAAAUUCUCAGGCUACAGAGUCAAUUGGUCUAAAUCCAAAGCUGUGGCUCUGACAGCGUAUUUCCCGGUCGGCUUUUCAACCAUGCACCUUCCAGUGGCCCAAACAGGGCAUUAAGUAUUUGGGCAUCUUAUUCCCAGCAAAUUUGUGUGAUUUAGUUAGUCAGUUUUGACCCUUUAAUAAAAAGCUUUGAGUGAUGUGGGCAGGUUGGCUUCAUUACAUUUAUCUAUGAUUGGGAAGGUUAAAUGUUAUUUAAAUGAAUUGCAUUCCAAAAUUCAAUUACCUGCUACAAUCACUCCCUGUAGAUGUCCCCAUCUCUUAUUUCAAGCAAUUUGAUAGCAUAGCGAAGUCCUUCAUUUGGAAUGGUAAAUGUCCCAGAUUACAUUUCAGUAAAUUGCAUAUGCCGAUUGACAAAGGUGGGCUAGGCCUACCUAAGAUUUUAUUUAGAAUUCAGUCUCAGACAUUUGGCUCAUUGGUGGCUUCCUCCUGAGAGAUCCCCUCCCUGGUUUUGUAUUGAACAGGAAGUUCUUGCCCCUAUUUCGCCAUUGCAAAGCCUUUAUCAAACAAAUCUGAAAAGUUACACCCUGUUGUCUUGCAUUUGCACUCAUAUGGUCAAAAGUGUCCAAAGAGUUAAAUUCUGACAUUUAUUUAAAUGUUGCCUCGAGCAUAUGGCUGAACCCCAAAUAAUAUUUUACUGCGGAGGUUGAAGGGGUGGGGGGGUCAGCCUUUCAGUGCUCAGACCAUACGCUGCACACUGCAUCAAAUUGGCAAACAAGACGACAAGCAGACGAAGGACAUGGAUUACUGGAACCAUGUCCUGUGGUCUGAUGAAACCAAGAUAAACUUUUUUGGUUCAGAUGGCGAUAAAUACGGUCUACAAGUAAAAUCCCAUUCACUUACAUUGGCUGAGAAAAGACUCUCCCUCUACUGGAGUAACUGUCUACCAAAUGCACCUCUACUGGAGCAAUCUCUCUAAUGGAGCAAUUCUGUCUACUAGCGGGUGGAGCUCCAGACUUGGAUGACAGAUGAAUUUUGCUUGCGUCUGCACGAAGGUAUGUCAAUUGUGUGUUUUAAUGCUUACCAGUUUGAACAUUCAAGCGAUUUUACACUAUUCAACUCACCAAAUGGCAAAACAACUCAAAUAAAUGUUUGCGUAGCACAGGCGAGAUCAUUUUUGCUUGCAUCUUCACGAAGGUUUGUUGGUUGUAUGCGUUUAAAUGCUUGCCAGUUUAAAUAUUCAAGCGAUUUUACACCAUUCGCACAGUCUGAUAACAUAAAUUUGAUAGCAUUAUUUUACCGUAAAAACCCUUAAAACAACAGUAAAGUACACAAACACUAAACGGUAAAUCACUGUUUACACUACAGAUGCAUGCUGUUAGAACUGUUUUUCCCAUUGUGUUUAACAAUAAAUCACAAUGAUAUGUCAACAAGAAUAUGUGUGCACCUCUAUGAAAAGAAAUAAUUUUACGCCUGCCCUGGUCUCUCUCAUUAAUUAGAUUACAUGACUUUAUGAUUCGUUAUUAUUAAAUUGAUAUAACAUGCAAUGUGUGACAUGUUUUACAGUCUUUAUUUUAUUGUCCAUAUGCAUCGUAUUGCAUAUGGUAAUGCAUCAUUAAUAAAAUGUUGAAAAGAAUAAUUUUAUGUGUUGAAGCUCAGGCUUUAUUUUCUUAUUGGAUUUUUAGUUGUCCAAUAUGUGCCACGACGCUGCAUAAUAUAAAGAAACCAUAUUUUUAUUAGGCAUUUUAUGUUUUAAAGUUAUUGCCUUUAGACUUGUCUAAUCAGCGCUCGAGACGUGUUCUCGCUCCUUUUGAACUUGAACUGGCGGUAUUUCUGGAACAGACAGCAAGCAAGCAUCAAUACACCGACCACGGCGAGCUGCUGAAAUGACUUUUUUCUCCACUCGAAAUCAGUCUGGUAAGCACAAAUAAACGAAUUCUCUAAAGUUGAAUUUCAAUAAUUGUUUUAGUUAUUUGAAUACAGCUUUUGUGUUUAUUUUAUUUUCAUAUCUUCCACAUUAGACCUGUUGGCUGUCUAGAUGGUAACUUUUAUCCUUUUAAUAUAUAAACUCACAUUGGAAAUAAACUAAUUCGCUCUGAUGUCUUUUAUUUGAAACGUUUGUAACACAUAUACUUUUAAGUAGAGAUGAGAAUCGGACAGGAAUUUGCAUAAUAUGUACCUGUGAAAGAGACAUUGAAGUGUCUGUUAAAUUCAGAGGUUUGGAAGAAUUGCAUUUUGAUGGACCUGCCAAAAAAAAAAACUAUACUGAUCUUUGUGAUUGCACAGAUGGCCAAAUACUGAAGUGCAGAGAUUUCCCUCAAGACAACCAAAGCUUGAAUGAAUAAAAUUGUGUCAUAUAAAAAAAAUUAAGGUAUAGUUCACCCAAAAAUAAAAAUGUAUACACAAUUGACUUCCAGGAAAACAAUACUAUGGGAGUCAAUGGUGCCUCACAACUGUUUGGUUAUAAACAUUCUUCAAAAUAACUUCCUUUGUGUUCAGCAGUACAAAGAUAUUUAUUCAGGUUUGGAACAACAUGAGGGUGAGUAAAUGACAGAAGUUUCAUUUUUUUGGGUUAACUAGGGAAGUUACAGUUAAUUCAGUUACAUCGUCAGAAUGGCUGGUGGUGAAUGGUUUUAAUAUAUUUUGGAGCUUUAAUCUCAUUGUGCUGACAGACAUUUUAUUGUUUGCUUUUGUCUGUAGGCUCUUCCUGCUACACAUCAAAACUGCUCAUGCUGAGUAUCGACCAAAAGAUUACAACUCCAUGCACAAUGCAGAGAUGAAUGUAGAAUUGUGCGAUGUUUGGCAGUUACUACGGUUUUAACAUUCUUUGUUUUCUUUUGAACUGGGUUCUACUCUGGAGUUCAUGCAAAGGUAGGCAUUAAACCAUUUUUUUAAAUGAAAUUUGUGGUAACACUAAAGGAAGGUCCCAUUUGUUAACAUUAGGUAAUGUACAAACUAACAAUGGGAAUUACAUACUAACAUGAACUAACAAUGGGAGUUACAUUUGUAACAGUAUUUAAUCUUUGUUUUUGUAAGAAAAAUACAGUCGAUCAUGUUAGUUAACAGCACAUUAACUAAUGUUGAAAGUAACGUUAAUUCUAUAAAUUGUCAUUAAUUUACUGUCCUUCGGAACAUGGGAGAUAUUUGUCACUCCAUUGGCAGCUAUGUGACUACCACUUUCAAGGUCCAGAAAGGUAGUAAAAACAUCAUUAAAAGUAAUCCAUGUGACUCCAGUGGAUUAACCUCAAUUUAUGAAGCAUCGCGAUUGCUUCGUUUGUGCAAAAGAGCAUAAUUUAUGGGUCUAUAAACUUAUUAAAAAAAAAAUGAUUAUUCACACAAUGUCUGCUCUCGCAUCCAUACAACACACGUGUCAUGAUGCUCUCAUUAACAAGUGUUACAGAUCAAUAUUUUUGUAAAUAAAGUGGUAAAUUGUUUUUUGCCCAAACAAAGCACUCAUGUUGCUUCAUAAAAUUGAAGUUAAACCACUGGAGUCACAUGAUUGCUUUAAUGUCUUGUACUUGAAAGUGGUAUUUGCAUAGCUGUCGAUGGAGUGACAGAAAGCUCUCAGGUUUCAUUAAAUUCUUCAUUUGUGUCCCGAAGAUGAACUGAAGUCUUGCGCGUUUGGAACGAUUUGAGGGUGAGUAAUUGUUAACUUAUUGUAAAGUGUUACAGAAAUGGUAAAAAUUCCACCCAAAAAUUAAAAUUCUGUCAUUACCCAGCAAACAUUGGUUCGACGGCAACGUCGUGUCCCUGGCCAAAACUAGUUGCAGUAGGACGACAUAAAUCAGUAAAAAUUUUACAACGAACACUUCCUAAAAAUGCAUUCAGAUACGUUUCAUAACUUUAAUUUUGGAACUACUUUUCAACCAUGAUGAGACGUGUCAGAGGGACGUCUUUUCAAUGGUCAUUAAAUGUCCAAAUGGUUGCUGGGUAUUUACUCUCAAGAGGUUCCCAACCGAUUUCUUCAGCUGAACACAAGAUAUUUUGAAAAAUAUGGGUUACCAGACAUUUUCUAGUCCCUAUUGACUUCCAUAGUCAUUUUUUCCCAUACUAUGGAAGUCAAUGGGCACCAGUAACUCUUUAGUAACACGUUCAACAGAAGAAAUUCAUACAUGUUUGGAACUGUAAUCAGUGUAUAUUUAUGAGCAACAAAUUCAGUCAUUCAAUUAUCUUUUUAAGGUGCUUCUUCAGCAUAAACCCAGAGAAGGGCACCAAAGUUGAAGAGGAAAAACAAACAGCUCCCAGUGAACCCCUGAGUCCUUACACUCAUAGCAGACCUUGCUGAUCAUGAAUGGAGAGCAGUUUAAGGUUGGACAAAAACUUUGACAGAUGUCUGAAGAUUAAGUUGGCACUGAGAAUGUUUUACAACCUUGUUAUCUGGAUUUACACUGAAAGAUGCUUGAACUUUGAAUGUCGAAAAACGACUUAAAUAGAAAGAGAUCCUUAUGGAUUAAAAAACCUGAGAUGUUCUGCAUGAUUGAGCAACUGAUUAAUUAAACCGGAAAUGAGGGCUGAUUUUUACUUCAAGCAAAUUGACGGCGGCUGAGUGCAAAAAAAAAAUGCAAAUGGCGGAUGCAAACGCUAGAGGCGGCAACUUUUACAAAUCACUUUCAUGCAUUUAGGACAUUUCAAUUUAAGCAAGACAGAAAGCAGCUACUGUAAUAUGUCUGAGCAGGACUUUAUUCCACCUAAAGUGGGCCAGGACGGAUGAAGACGUAACACGUAUCAUAAUGAGCCGGAUGGCCAAUGGGCAUCUCUUCUCUGGAUGCAGGAACGCAGCCCAGCUUGGAUGGGAAACUGUUCUGAAAGAGUUGGGGUUGCUUGGUGUGGUAACCCCUGCCAAAGCUGCCAAAAAGUGGGAAAACUUGAAGAAAACAUACAAGUGAUCCAGCCAAAAAGGAAGGAUAAUUGAGGAGUUUUUGUCCAUACAAUGUAAAUCUGUGUGGUCCGAAACAUUCAAGCUCCUAAAAGGAUAUUAAAGCAGAAUAAAGGUUUAUUACGAGUUCAACAAAGUGGUGAGUAAAAUUCUCAGACAGAUCUUCUUUGAUGCACUUGACCGUUUCUCUCCAAGCCUGAUGGACCUCUUCAGGAAGAAGAAAGGCCUCACCGCCAAGCUUCUGUCUGAGCUUUUACGUUAGACAAAGACCACUGAGCCAACAGACAAUAGCUGCCUUUGUCUUCGGGGACUGCCGGUCAUUUUGGGGGAUGAUCCUUCUGCCGCCUUCAAGACCUGCUCCGAUGUAACUGACAAGGACUUGUACAGUCAGACUCCAGUGGAAAUCCUCUACGUUGAUCAAGAAAGUCCUCAACUAAACCCAUCCAGAGUGGGGAUCUUCUUGGAAGGGAGUUUGGUGAUGGGUGAACUGGCCAACCUGCCUCUGGCCUUCUGUGUCCUUUUCGGACUGAUUUAUGCCCUGCACCUGAACUAACCCAAGUGCAUGAAAAACACCUUCUCCUUUAUUCUGCAGGUAAUGCUCAACCUGGGAAAAGGUGAGCUGACACCCAAAAUUCAUUCUUUGAAAAAUCAGCUUGCCGUGUAAAACGAGCUUCCCAAUAGUUAUACCUCUGCUCCAAAUACCUGGUGGUUAGUUUGAAAGUUUACUGUUGUGCACCGUUUCAUAGAGACAAAGGUUGGAAAUCUCUGAAACUUGAAGUUGGCAAGUCCUUUGACUGUAUUGCUGUCUGUUGUAUUUUCAAAUGAAACGUUCUAAAUUGAAA